GCCGAGCUCAGUCACGAGAGCUUGUAACCUGAGUGGGGCUUUGAGGUGGUGUGGAUGCUGUUGCAGCACUGUGGGCCUGGCCUGGGUGUGCUAAUGCUGGCCCGCCCGUUCCAAGUUGAGUAGUGAACUGGUGGGGCUUAUGCGAAAGCUGGGUCUCAUGGGCCAUGCUGUGACAUGUAAAGCGUGAGGCUGGUUUCAUAGAGCAUAAGAUUAGAAUAUUUGGGUGGAAGCUAGCGGCGAAUGCUCUACCAACACAGAUAAAUAUGAAUUUCAAAAGAAAAAAACAC
rnacentral:SRP_RNA from 9 species